rnacentral:rRNA from 1 species
GGGCCCGCACAAGCGGUGGAGUAUGUGGUUUAAUUCGACGCAACGCGAAGAACCUUACCUGGCCUUGACAUCCCAGGAACACCUAUGAAAGUAGGUGGUGUCCCCUCACGGGGAAGCCUGGUGACAGGUGCUGCAUGGCUGUCGUCAGCUCGUGUCGUGAGAUGUUCGGUUAAGUCCGGCAACGAGCGCAACCCCUGUUGUUAGUUGCCAUCAUUCAGUUGGGCACUCUAACAAGACUCCCGGUGACAAGCCGGAGGAAGAUGGGGAUGACGUCAAGUCCUCAUGGCCCUUACGGCCAGGGCUACACACGUACUACAAUGGCGACUACAAAGGGCAGCGAGACCGCGAGGUGGAGCCAAUCCCAAAAAAGUCGCCUCAGUUCGGAUUGGAGUCUGCAACUCGACUCCAUGAAGUCGGAAUCGCUAGUAAUCGUGGAUCAGAAUGCCACGGUGAAUACGUUCCCGGGCCUU